UCUAAUAUGGCAGAAUUAAUGCAAUGGAUUUAAAUUCCAUUAAUAAAAUAAUAUUUUUUUUAGAA
rnacentral:tRNA from 1 species